ACUGCCCGGCCCCCAAAAAGUUGCACAUGCAAUAUUUGACUGCAACACCUUUGGUUUUGUUUACAGGAGACAUUCACUGGAUUUAACAAAGCAAACAGUUU